rnacentral:rRNA from 1 species
CCGCAUAAGCCCACGGGUCGGCAUCGACCAGAGGGAAAAGGAGCAAUCCGCUUUGAGAUGGCCUCGCGUCCGAUUAGCUAGUUGGUGAGGUAACGGCCCACCAAGGCGACGAUCGGUAGCCGGACUGAGAGGUUGAACGGCCACAUUGGGACUGAGACACGGCCCAGACUCCUACGGGAGGCAGCAGUGGGGAAUAUUGCACAAUGGGGGAAACCCUGAUGCAGCGACGCCGCGUGGAGGAAGAAGGUCUUCGGAUUGUAAACUCCUGUUGUUGGGGAAGAUAAUGACGGUACCCAACAAGGAAGUGACGGCUAACUACGUGCCAGCAGCCGCGGUAAAACGUAGGUCACAAGCGUUGUCCGGAAUUACUGGGUGUAAAGGGAGCGCAGGCGGGAAGACAAGUUGGAAGUGAAAUCUAUGGGCUCAACCCAUAAACUGCUUUCAAAACUGUUUUUCUUGAGUAGUGCAGAGGUAGGCGGAAUUCCCGGUGUAGCGGUGGAAUGCGUAGAUAUCGGGAGGAACACCAGUGGCGAAGGCGGCCUACUGGGCACCAACUGA